GUAGGUGAACCUGCGGAAGGAUCAUUAAUGAAACUUUGAAGUCGGUCAACUGUGCUGGCGACACCAUCGCAUGUGCACGCUGGUCGCAAAUCCACACACUUGUGCACCUCUAACCUCGAGGCCCGCUCAUUUGAGCAACCGGGUUGCCUCAUUGGUAACCUGAGCCUUCUGGGGUGUUUACACACGCGCAUGUAAAGGAAUGUCUAUUGUGCUUAACAGCGCAUCUAAUACAACUUUCAACAACGGAUCU
rnacentral:misc_RNA from 1 species